rnacentral:rRNA from 1 species
CCUACGGGAGGCAGCAGUGGGGAAUAUUGGACAAUGGGCGAAACCUGAUCCAGCCAUGCCGCGUGUGUGAAGAGGUCUUCGGAUUGUAAGCACUUUAAGUUGGGAGGCGUUACCGACAGAAUAAGCACCGGCUAACUCUGUGCCAGCAGCCGCGGUAAUACAGAGGGUGCAAGCGUUAAUCGGAAUUACUGGGCGUAAAGCGCGCGUAGGUGGUUUGUUAAGUUGGAUGUGAAAUCCCCGGGCUCAACCUGGGACCUGCAUCCAAAACUGGCAGGCUAGAGUAUGGUAGGGGGUGGUGGAAUUUCCUGUGUAGCGGUGAAAUGCGUAGAUAUAGGAAGGAACACCAGUGGCGAAGGCGACCACCUGGACUGAACUGACACUGAGGUGCGAAAGCGUGGGGAGCAAACAGGAUUAGAUACCCCUGUAGUC